rnacentral:rRNA from 1 species
GACGAACCGUGCAAACGUUCUUCGGAAUCACUGGGCAUAAAGGGCGCGUAGGCGGCUUGACAAGUCAGGGGUGAAAUCCGGCAGCUUAACUGUCGCAGUGCCUUUGAUACUGUCGAGCUCGAGGGAGGUAGGGGUCUGUGGAACUUCCGGUGGAGCGGUGAAAUGCGUUGAUAUCGGAAGGAACGCCGGUGGCGAAAGCGGCUUGCCAGAACGCGCUCGACGGUGAGGGAUGAAAGCUGGGGGAGCAAACCGG